rnacentral:pre_miRNA from 1 species
GUGUCUGAAGGGUUGUGAAGAGGGAGGGAACACACGGAGUUUGGAGGCAGCGGUUCAUCGAUCUCUUCAUGGUUUAUGUGGGUUCAUCCGAUCACAAAAACACGUGAAUCGAUCGAUAAACCUCUGCAUCCAGCAACCCCCCUAGUUUCUCCCUUCCUACCUUCUCAU